rnacentral:lncRNA from 1 species
UUUUUUUAUUUUAUUUUCUCAUGUAUUUAUUUUCCUUCAAUACAUAAUAUUUGUUACUCAUGUCACUCUUUGCAUACUAUGAUUUAAAGCAAUGCUACUAGCUUCAUCGCAGCUCUGUUACCCACUCACAGCAUUGUUUCUCACUUCCUACUUUGAAUGAAACGAACACAUGUGAAAAAGAUCACCAGUGCUGUGCUUCAUAAAAGACAUUCAUGGCAGCCACCCCAGCUUGCUUCAAUGCUUAACAUUGGUCCUCGAGUGGAAAGGAAGAGCCGUUCAUCUCAUAUUCACUUUUGGCACUUCAACGGAUAAGUCUAGGGCAAUUGUAGAACACAUUUGAAGUUCGAAAAUAAUUCUGAGUUAAAACAUGUGGAAGAGACAAAAUUGUCAGAUUAUAUCAAAAAGUUAAACACUGCGCUUGUGUGCAUUCACCCGGCAUUCAGAAGUGCGAGAUUUCUGCUGGCUCCAACCGCAAAAAGCCUGCAAACUAUUUUGUUCUCAAGUUACUAAUCUAAUCCAUACAACCCAGUCAACUAAUCCUACUUUGAUUCCUACACAUAAAGAAUUGAUUCUGCUAGACGUUGCUACAAGAGCAUGUGCAACUGCCUCUCAAAAUCCGCUGAACUCAGUAUCUGGGUGGGGGCUUGUCUCCAGCCAAGUUCACUCUCAAUUCCCUACCGUCAUAAUCGGCGCCGUCGAGGCUCUCAAUGGCAGCGUUAACCUCAGUCUCACUGGACAAAGUCACGAACCCAAAUCCACGUGACCUACCAGAGUCCCUUUCAGUCGCAAUUCUAGCUUCCAGAACUCUUCCGUAAUCCGAAAAUAGAGUCUCAAGAGCCUCCUCGUCGCACCUCCAGGACAGGUUGCCAACGAACAGCUUGUUAGGACCAUCCCUCUGUCUGCGGUCCCUGCUCCCGGACCUGUCUGAUCUGGGUGAUGAUGGUUCAUACUCUCUGGUAGAAAUCCAAGAGUCAAUUAAUAAAAAGCAAACAUAAUUGCAAGUUCAAGAGUAACAAAAAGAAUCAUGUAAUAAGCGGUACACAUGAGAAGCAGCUACAAUACAGAAAAUCAACAUGAUAGAGCGAAGUAAUGCAUUAUCCAGCCAGUCACCACUGUAGUAUCCCUAAUUGAAUGGAAUUCGUCCAAGACGGUUCGGGUAUUCACAAACUUCACUAACCAUAUAAACAUGAACGAAUAAGACGACGAACAUAGCAAACUUUAUUGUCUAGUACAUUUCCUUGCAUGCAUCCUCGCAAAUACAAUCUUCGUAGAUUAAGAGACCAACAAAUCACACACUUAAUAAGUACAACAAUGUCCUAAAAAAGUCAACAAAGCAAACCUCAGUAAGAUUCAAAGACUUAUGGAUAUUGAUAUAAAUUUAUUCUCAAUACCUGGUUGGGGGCUUCUCUCCAGCCAAGUUCACUCUCAACCGCCUCCCAUCGAGUUCCGCGCCGUCCAGGUUCUCAAUAGCAGCAUUAGCCGCAGCCGCACUUUCCAUCGUCACGAAACCGAACCCACGGGACCUUCCAGAAUCCCUGUCAAACACAACCUUGGCAUCCACCACAGUUCCGUAUUCUGAGAAAAACGAGUACAAAGCAGCUUCAUCACAUCCCCAUGAAAGGUUGCCAACAAACAACUUAUUAGCAUCAUCCCUGGGCCUUUCCGACCGCUCCACGCGAGGCUUGUCCUUCUGCGACUGGGGGUAGUUCACCUUCAAGGGUCUCCCCCCCAUGUCCGUUCCGUCAAGCGCGUUGAUCACAGCCUGGGCAU